GAAGCACAUUUGAGCAGCGUUCCCUCAUUAGAGGAAGCACUACAUGAUGGAAAAGAGGCCCGGAGCAGCGCCACUGGUGUUCCUCGUGUUUCUUCUUUACCGUGGUACUCUGACAGUGAGCUUGGCAUGCCCUGUUUGUGUGCGGACGAAAGAUUAGGACCCUUCCUUGCCUUUUCCUCGACGCCUGUGGUUACUUUCAGAACGUAGUGAAGAAUUUUAGAGCUCAAACGCCAUCUUUUCUUGAAUAUAGAUCGAGGGCUGAAGUGUCAACCCCUCAAGAUGGUCAUUCAAGUCGACCCAAAUCCAGGAAAGGCACAGAGAGGAGAAUUAAUGAAGUGAGUGGAUUCUUGUUUCUAACACAGCACUGUUAUCUCCUGAACAUUAAUGACGUAAACAGGUAGUUUCUUGUCGAAUAAUUUUGAAGAUGAGAAUUUCAAUUCCCUUCUCAGGAGCCGUACCGAUCUGUAUUUAUCUAAUAACGUGAAUAAAUCUGUUAUAUCACUGAUGUUGCUCUGAACCAACGGGUGCAGAGAGAUCUGCGGUGUUUCUUAAUGAACUCUUAUCUUGUACAAGCCCUGAAACAAAAGAUUUGCUUUCCGUUGAUCGGAGCUGUAGAGAUUCUGAAUGAACCCUGAUGUGGGAGAUGUUCAUGCGCCACGGUGUAAUUCAGAUGGGUGAAAAGAGCACAUUUCGGUUUAAGCAAUUAGCCCUAUAAAGUUUAUUGACAAUGACUGCUCUACUGAAGUGUUUUCCUGGAGGUUUUUAUAUUGAGACGCUUUUAUUUGACCACAGAAUUGCAUGGCUGUGUGGAUUACAUAUUGUGUAUUAAGUCUUUAUCUUCUUGGGGGUUUUUUGUAUGACGAUUGGUUUAUCUCUUUUACUUUGAAAGGAGUGGUUAACCUUUAAGAUAAAUAACACAAGAUUUGACAGGUGCCAUGAAUCAUAAAUAACUGUGUUGGAGGAUCGAUUGGCUUUAUAUUUCCUCUUUGGAAUAAAGUUUGGAACUGUUUGAAUUCAGGCAAGGUAAGAGGUCACCGGGUCAUAGUCGACAGAUUUCCACAUUUUACUCACUGCUAUUUUGACUCCCGACUCUUCUCAUGUAUUUAAAUGUUUGCGCAGGUUUUCCGCCCACAGCGGUCGGUGUCUCGGGGUGAAGGAGGGGCAGCGAUGUGAUGAAUGGACGGUGGAAUGAAGCUGGACAUUUAAGAUUGCCGCAAUCUGUUCAGUCUCUGCAGCGUCUUCAUCAGAAGAUCCUCCCGUAAUUGAAUGUUCAUCAGUUUGCAGAAACAGUAUGUAUAGAAGGAAUUGAAUGUUGUUCAUGAAGAAACUAUAAAACGAAGCGGUCGGGGUCGUUAUGAUAAAGAGAUGAGACUUUAGAAGAAGUGGAGUUGUGUGCCUGUGGUUGAAGAAGACAGAAGAAUACAACAAACGAGCGCUGGCCCGCCAACAGCCUUAAACACGCAACCUGAUGAUGAACUCGCAAAUCUUCUUAAAUUCCAGUGUGAAAUGAAAGUAAUUCUUUAAACGUUGCUUCAAUAUAUCUACACUUUGCAAUAAGACCGCAGGAAACAUUGAAUGGCAGAGAGGAUUUAGUGUGACACAUCGGUGGAAUGCUAAGACGAGACUGAGUGCUUGCCCUGCCGCGGUUUAGAAAGGUACCGAGGGUCCGGGCGGAUAACGCUUCACAUCAUCAGAAGAAAACUGAGCAAUCACCUUCUGCCGAGAUUAUGCAGAUGAGGCAGCCGCACUCGUCCUGGAACGCUCUGAACAUGUUGGUGUAAACAGAGUGUGGACGGCUUACAUGCUGACAAGAUGCUCCUCUCCAUUGCAACGUCGCCCGGGGCCGCCAAAGAAGGAGGCACGUUUCCUCAAUACAGACCCUGUUUAACAGCCAAUACGGCGCUGUUUUAAGUUUUUCUCCUCACCCACACAGGAAAGGAAGGUUUAUAGAAGCGAUUAUAUUUGUGACCCUGG